AUUGAACGCUGGCGGAAUGCUUUACACAUGCAAGUCGAACGGCAGCACGGACUUCGGUCUGGUGGCGAGUGGCGAACGGGUGAGUAAUAUAUCGGAACGUAUCCAAUAAUGGGGGAUAACUAAUCGAAAGGUUGGCUAAUACCGCAUACGUCCUACGGGAGAAAGCUAGGGACCUUCGGGCCUGGCGUUAACGGAGCGGCCGAUAUCGGAUUAGCUAGUUGGUGAGGUAAAGGCUCACCAAGGCGACGAUCCGUAGCUGGUCUGAGAGGACGACCAGCCACACUGGAACUGAGACACGGUCCAGACUCCUACGGGAGGCAGCAGUGGGGAAUUUUGGACAAUGGGCGAAAGCCUGAUCCAGCCAUUCCGCGUGAGUGAAGAAGGCCUUCGGGUUGUAAAGCUCUUUCGCAAGAGAAGAAGACUUACCCUCUAACAUAGGGUGAGGUUGACGGUAUCUUGAUAAGAAGCACCGGCUAACUACGUGCCAGCAGCCGCCGUAA
rnacentral:rRNA from 1 species